UUUGUUAGCACUUAGCUUAGCCCAGUUCAUUCAUUAGGAUCCAAGCAGAGAAUCGACCAAACAUCUCCACGUUUUCCCUAUUUAAAUAUAGUGUAACUCGACCAAGAAUGGUGACACAAAAUAAAACGUUGCGCUUUUCUAAGCAUGUAAAGUGGAUAACUAUAAUGUAUGGCGGAAUACCAUAGCAAGUGCUUGGGAGCA